rnacentral:lncRNA from 1 species
GAACAAUGGAAUGGAUGUGAUACACCAUGGCAACCCGACAUGACCCAGAAGAACCAGGAGGAGCCUCAAGCUUCAGUGGACCUGGAGAAACUGUCAGGUUCCCUCCUGCAGAACCUCCACCUAAAACUAUGACCAGGGCCCAGGUGGGCACCACUGGGGACAGGUGGCUCAGUGCUGCACUUGGACUUGGGGCAGGGGCUCCCCGUGCCACCUCUCCUCUAGCUCCCCUAGUCUGAGGGCUUUUCCGCCCACUUGGUCCCUGUUCCUGUCCAGCCGGACAGGUCAGGGGUGGUUUCUGGUCUGGGCACUGGGGCACUGGCUCCUGUCUGGGGUGAUUCCUGCUGAGUCACUGGCUGAGGCUCUAAACAGGAUCCCAUGGGCCUAAUCGUGCUGGGGGUGGGUGACCAGGGCCAGAGGGAUGAGACACCGAGUCUAUGUGAAGGAUGGGUGCUGGGCGGGCCACAGCCUGCUGCUCCCCCUCCUUGGUGGCUUCUGUUUCACCCCGGCCCACAGCUCGGCUCUGCAAGGACCCAGCCCCGCUUCCAGGCCUGACCAAGUGCUGCUGGUUAGGAAAGAAGAGAAGAGAAGAUGCGGGGCACCGCCCCCACCAAGAAGCCCUCCACGGGGGAAGGCUGACUAGUACAUACCCCAACGAACCGAAACCCGAUGUCCAAACGAAAACCUGUACACAGAUGUUCACGGGAGCACCAUUCGCAAUAGACAAAGGUGGGGAACCAAUGUCCACCAGCUGACGAAUGAAUAAAAAAUGUGCUAUAUUCA